CCUUUUAAAAUUUAAACCUAACCAUUUUAUAAAAGUUUUUUUAAAAUUGUUUUUAUAAUUGUUUAUGUUGGAUAGCAUCCUCAGUUCUUUGGCAAGGGAGGUGUGUUAGUUAUUAGAUUAUUAGCAUUAUUAUUGUUGCCUUGUACCAUUGCAUUGUCAUUAUGUGCACGGAUAAGUUGAACCCCAGUUCCAGUUAAAAGGAGCUGCCUGCACAAAAUUAUUAUUUGAUACCCUUGACUAAUAUAUUUAGGUGUGAUACCUAUUAAAUUCAUAUUUGUAAAGUAAUGCAAAUAAAAGCAAUCGUAGAAAUGUUUGUGGUGUUUGUUACUGUAAUUUACUAUGCUUAAUAGUACUUCAGACUUUUGCCUAUCUGCCAUACAUUGGUCACUCAUACAUGCACCUUGAAAAUAUAGACUUAGAUUCAGAAGUUUUCAGUAUUACAAGUGAAAUAUAGCGAGUACUGGAUUUGUCAUGAUACUUAUGUUCUUUGACAAAUUUUUUGGAGAUUUUAGAGCAAAUUGGCCUCUGUCAUUUUGAAUGACUGGCAGAAUUACUUAUAGAGAGAUUUAGAUAUAAAUAAUACCAUAUUACUAGAGUGAGUUCCAAGUAAAAUAGAACAUAUUUGAGCUGCUUAUUGUUUAUUCAAACAAGAAACUACUCAAUGCUCUUAAAUGUUCAGUAGUUGCAUUUUGAGAUUUAAAUGGCUUAAGUCUCAAAAAUAUUUCUGGGGUGCUGAAUAUUUUCCUGACUCAGUGAAAUAAAAUAAAGCAUCAGUCUGUGGUACAUUAGGCAUUGUUUUUAGACAAAAUACUAAUAUUGUAGAUGGCUAUUUUGCCAGUUUCUUACUUCAGUUACACCCAGAAAAUCCCAUUGACUUUAGUAGUACUGACAGCAGAAUUUGAUUUCUGUUGCUUAUCUGUUAUAUUUGCCUUUGGCAUGCCAUGUUUUUCUUGUUGGCUAAUAUACUGCAGUAAAUAAAAUAAAUGGCUGCAUUUCACAGGAUUUAGAUUUUUUUUUACCCAACUUUAUAUUGGUAACAAUAUACAUACCUGUACAUGAGAUGCUACUACACAGUGGUUGUUGUGCAUUUAUUUAAUAAAUGUGCAAUAACUGAGUUCUGAUGCAGUAGCGCUGGCAAACGUGUUUUAAGUGAUGCUGCUGAGUAGUAGCAUGUUAGCACUAUUAGUGCUGUGGCACAUUACUGCGCAGUUAUAUUUGGCUACUGCGCAGUCAGCGUCUUAUGUAGACGUGCCCAGUAGUACUGUAAUGUGAUAAACAGUACUGAAGAAUCUUUGCUCAAGAGCUAACAUUUCUCACUUUGCAAUACAUACUUUUAAGUGAAAAAAGCUUUUAUUUAUGUGUCUAGAAGAACACUUUGUUUUUUUAAAACCAAAUUUCAUUUCUAAAAUAACACCCCAUCAGAGUUUACUAAAUGGUGGCAUCUAUUACUUCAUUGGAAUAAUAUCUCUAAGGGGUUGAUACUGAGUGUCUUUUUAUUAAAGUAGCCAAGGUUUGGUACUUCUAUCAGGCCAAAACACUCCUAAAUUGAUUAGAUUAAUUAAAUCCUUUGCACUUUGCUUUGUGCCUUGAUCUGAACCAGGCUGAUUCUUUUUCUUGUUCUGUGCUCAGGUAUAUUUUUAAAGAUUACAGUUGAGUUAGUUGCACUGAAUUCAGGAAAUGCUAGUAGUUUGAAGUGAGUGAUGCUACUUUCUAACCUGCAAACCUGGCAUUUGUAAAAUUUCUGAGCUGACUGAAUACUUAAGAACAGAACAGAUUUAUUGAUAAGCCCUUACUACUAGUACAGAAAGAUUGCAUUUUAUCUGUCAGUAUACUAAAAAGUAUUAUAAAUAUUUGACUUCAAAUUACACUGGUUAAAAUAAAUAAAUUUUCACCAUUUAGUGAUACAGUGUUCUUGCAUGGUUUCUACAUUUCUUUUCAUAUUUCUCAUAAUUUGAUAAUAAAUAGGGUCUUUUGUUCAUUAACACUAAUGUCUGGGUUUCCAUUGAAAAUAAAAUGCUGUUAACUUUAAUUGAUUGUUAAGACCAGUAGCUUAGUAAAAUUUGUCAUAGUUUUCAUAAGGAAUUCUUGUAACAAUAAUUCACAUUUUGUGUUUUGAUAGAAAAUGCAAAAGCCGACUCUUACUUUUGAAGAAUUCCUACAGUCCCAAAAUUUGGAUGAUUGGCCAAGGGUUCCCUUUUUGGAUGAUGAUUGUUCUUUGGUGGACAAAUUACAAAAAGAUUAUUCAUUCAGUGCUAUUUCAAAGUGUCUGUAUGAAAAUGCGCCACUGAACAUUAAACCCAUCUCAGACUUGGAGAAGAAAAUAAAUGAAUGCGCCGUGGAACUGAAGGAACAUGCUGAAAAAAUACUUUCUUUGGAACACAAACAAGUGGAGAUGGAUAGUCAUCUAGUUUCACUACAGCAAAGUAAUAAGCAAUUAUUUUAGUUUUACUAAUAGGAACAAUAGCUGAAUGGUGAAUGAAUUGAUUUAAUCCAUUUUUCAUCCCUAGCAAUUUCUUUCAAGUUUCUUGAAACAACAGGAAGAAUGUACAGUCUAGUAUCUGAAAAACAUACAUGUAUAUGCAGUAAAGAUGCAGAGUAAAGAUGGAUAAAAUUCUAGCAGAUAGAAUAUAAUAACAUUUGCACAUUAGAAAAUUUUUCAUGUAGUGCUCAGAGGUCUACAGUACAUAUUUACACAAUGUCCUGCAUAAGGUAUAUCACUGUUGUCCUGGGAGACAUUCAUGCAUAAGCUAUAUUAUAGUAGAAGUAGCCUUGGGAGGCAUUGUGCUUUUAAGAAGCACAGGUAUUUUUGUGCUGCCCUUACUAACAGGAAAAGUACUAAAUUAGCAUGUUGUUUGAUGUAUUUAGACUGUGGAGUCAAAGCUUUGUCAGUUAUACAUUUUCUUUGUCCACUUCAGGAGGCAAGGCUUACACAUGCUUACAGUUUAUCUAUACAAAACAUACGCCUCAGAUAAAUUAAUAUAAAAAAUAGAGUUUUAAGUAAAAAUGUUGUUCCUAAUGGACAUAGUUGAUUAGAACCUUAAUUUUGCAACUCCACUGAAAGACAGCAUCUCCAUCAAUUCUUAAUGUGUAAUUAUUGUACGAUAAUUGGCCAAGAGUUUCUUGGUGAAUGUUCUUCGGUAGACAAAUAAUGUCAAAUGGAUAGUACGUUCAUAAUUUCAAAGGGUAUAUAGUGUUCUGUAACUUCAUUCUAGGGCACUAGUUCAGUAUCAAGUUAGGCAGAAGAUAGGGCAGGAUGGCACCUUGGAGACUGUCUUAUUCAGAGAGACCUAAGCUUUCAUAGGUGACAGCCUACUUUGUCAGGUGCUUUGUCAGAUAUCUCUGCCUGACUUCAGACUACAUGCCUAAUGACCUUUCAGUGUUCAGUUGGAAAGGGAAGAGUCAGUUCUUGAGUCAUCAGCCCAACUUUCUUUAGAAUCUCACUUUGGUUUAGAUGUAGCCUUCUGGUGUUAUGGCUGGAGGGAUAUCAUUGUUACAACUAAAUAACUGUGUGGUACUUUUUACUAAAUGCAUUGGGCAUACUUCUCAGUUGGUAUUGAUUUCAGUGGAGAUAUACUGCUUCACGUCAGAUGAAGUUACUAUUGUUUCUUGCAAAUAUCAGUAAUCUGAUUCCUUUAUCAUCUCUGUGUAAUUAUUUAUGGAUAUGAUUUUAACAUAUUGAUUUGCAUAUAAAAUUGUAGGAUCUCUUGGGGGAUAUGCUUGUGAUGGGGUAGGCAACUUUUUUGGCUGGAGUGC